rnacentral:rRNA from 1 species
GACGAACGCUGGCGGCGUGCUUAACACAUGCAAGUCGAGCGGUAAGGCCCUUUCGGGGGUACACGAGCGGCGAACGGGUGAGUAACACGUGGGUGACCUGCCCUUAGCUCUGGGAUAAGCCUGGGAAACUGGGUCUAAUACCGGAUAUGACUCCAUGACGCAUGUUGUGGGGUGAAAGCCUUGUGCGGCUAGGGAUGGGCCCGCGGCCUAUCAGCUUGUUGGUGGGGUGANGGGCCUACCAAGGCGACGACGGGUAGCCGGCCUGAGAGGGCGACCGGCCACACUGGGACUGAGACACGGCCCAGACUCCUACGGGAGGCAGCAGUGGGGAAUCUUGCGCAAUGGGCGAAAGCCUGACGCAGCGACGCCGCGUGGGGAUGACGGCCU